AGAGCACAUUUAAACACAGCUUAAGCUGACCAAAAUGCUGUACAAAAAAGCACUAAGUUGGCGGCAUCUGCAG